UACGUAGGGGGCAAGCGUUGUCCGGAAUUAUUGGGCGUAAAGCGCGCGCAGGCGGCUUUGUAAGUCUGUCGUUUAAGUUCGGGGCUCAACCCCGUAUCGCGAUGGAAACUGCAAGGCUUGAGUGCAGAAGAGGAAAGUGGAAUUCCACGUGUAGCGGUGAAAUGCGUAGAUAUCGGGAGGAACACCAGUGGCGAAGGCGACUACCUGGCCUGUUCUUGACGCUGAGGCGCGAAAGCUAGGGGAGCAAACGGG
rnacentral:rRNA from 1 species